AAAAAUAUUAUUAAUAUAGAAAUGUAAUUUCAACUCUGGUUAAAAGCGUCAAAACAUCACGAUUUUGAGGUUAUGUCAAAUUUUUUUUUCGUUAUUAAUUUAAAAUGUUUAAAAUCCAUAGAAUCCACAUAGAUGUUUCAUUACGUUAACAUAACAAAGUUCUAUACUUUCAAGGUACAUGAUGAUCGUUACAAUAUGACGUCUACCUGUGAGAUCUUUAAGGACCAAACGUAAUGUUGGUGUGCGAUUUAUUAACAAAAAAAAAAAUUGUCUCGAUUCAUUUAUGAGAAUCGUCUCUGGGGAUUCAUAUUAAGGAAGCUAAUUUCAUUUAAAUCUACACCACAAUCUAGUCGUUGUAUGUUAAGUCAUCUAGUUUAAAA